rnacentral:rRNA from 1 species
UGGGGAAUAUUGCACAAUGGGCGAAAGCCUGAUGCAGCAACGCCGCGUGAGUGAUGAAGGUCUUCGGAUUGUAAAGCUCUGUCUUUUGGGACGAUAAUGACGGUACCAAAGGAGGAAGCCACGGCUAACUACGUGCCAGCAGCCGCGGUAAUACGUAGGUGGCGAGCGUUGUCCGGAUUUACUGGGCGUAAAGGGUGCGUAGGCGGAUGUUUAAGUGAGAUGUGAAAUACCCGGGCUUAACUUGGGUGCUGCAUUUCAAACUGGAUAUCUAGAGUGCAGGAGAGGAGAAUGGAAUUCCUAGUGUAGCGGUGAAAUGCGUAGAGAUUAGGAAGAACACCAGUGGCGAAGGCGAUUCUCUGGACUGCAACUGACGCUGAGGCACGAAAGCGUGGGUAGCAAACAGGAUUAGAUACCCUGGUAGUCCACGCCGUAAACGAUGAGUACUAGGUGUAGGAGGUAUCGACCCCUUCUGUGCCGCAGUAAACACAUUAAGUACUCCGCCUGGGAAGUACGAUCGCAAGAUU